rnacentral:rRNA from 1 species
GACGAACGCUGGCGGCGUGCUUAACACAUGCAAGUCGAGCGGGAAACUUCGGUUUCCAGCGGCGGACGGGUGAGUAACACGUGGGCAACCUGCCUCACAAUGAGGGAUAGCCUUCCGAAAGGAAGAUUAAUACCUCAUAAUACAAGAAAAACGCAUGUUUUUCUUGCCAAAGAAUUUCGUUGUGAGAUGGGCCCGCGGCGCAUUAGCUUGUUGGUGAGGUAACGGCUCACCAAGGCUGCGAUGCGUAGCCGACCUGAGAGGGUGAUCGGCCACAUUGGAACUGGGACACGGUCCAGACUCCUACGGGAGGCAGCAGUGGGGAAUAUUGCACAAUGGAGGAAACUCUGAUGCAGCAACGCCGCGUGAGUGAUGAAGGUCUUCGGAUUGUAAAGCUCUGUCUUCUGGGACGAUAAUGACGGUACCAGAGGAGGAAGCCACGGCUAACUACGUGCCAGCAGCCGCAGUAAAAC